AUGCUUAUAGCUUAAUUGGAAAAGUACUAGAUUGCGGAUCUAUCGAUUGAAAGUUCGAAUCUUUCUAAGCAUA
rnacentral:tRNA from 1 species